AGCAGCCGCGGUAAUUCCAGCUCCAAUAGCGUAUAUUAAAGUUGUUGCAGUUAAAAAGCUCGUAGUUGAACUUCGGAACCAGUAGGUUGGUCGUGCCUCCGGUACGUACUGACCUUACCGGUUUCUCCCUUCUGACGAACCAUAAUGCCAUUAAUUUGGUGUUGUGGGGAAUCAGGACUGUUACUUUGAAAAAAUUAGAGUGUUUAAAGCAGGCUUUAAGCUUGAAUAGAUUAGCAUGGAAUAACGAAAUAGGACGUUUGAUCUUAUUUUGUUGGUUUCUAGGAUCGACGUAAUGAUUAAUAGGGAUAGUUGGGGGCAUUAGUAUUCAAUUGUCAGAGGUGAAAUUCUUGGAUUUAUUGAAGACUAACUACUGCGAAAGCAUUUGCCAAGGAUGUUUUCAUUAAUCAAGAACGAAAGUUAGGGGAUCGAAGACGAUCAGAUACCGUCGUAGUCUUAACCAUAAACUAUGCCGACUAGGGAUCGGAUGAUGUUAAUUUUUUAAUGACUCAUUCGGCACCUUACG
rnacentral:rRNA from 1 species